rnacentral:rRNA from 1 species
AGCAUGUGGUUUAAUUCGAAGAUACGCGAAGAACCUUACCUGGCCUUGACAUUGAUAGAAUCUGGUAGAGAUACUGGAGUGCUAGCUUGCUAGAACUUGAAAACAGGUGCUGCACGGCUGUCGUCAGCUCGUGCCGUGAGAUGUUGGGUUAAGUCCCGCAACGAGCGCAACCCUCGUCGUUAGUUGCUAACAGUUAGGCUGAGAACUCUAACGAGACUGCCUUCGUAAGGAGGAGGAAGGUGAGGACGACGUCAAGUCAUCAUGGCCCUUACGGCCAGGGCUACACACGUGCUACAAUGGGGUGUACAGAAAGCUGCAAUAUCGCGAGAUGGAGCAAAUCUCAAAAACACCUCCCAGUUCGGAUUGUUCUCUGCAACUCGAGAACAUGAAGUUGGAAUCGCUAGUAAUCGUAGAUCAGCAUUCGCUACGGUGAAUACGUUCCCGGUCUU